AUAAAUAACUUUCAUUUUGCAUUUUAUUUUUUUCAAUAAAUUGUAAAAAACUUGUUAAAUACUUAAAUGAACACAUAUUAUAAGCUUGUUCCCCAUGUUUUCAUUAUGUUAUAAUACUUCAUAAUAUAUAUGUCAUUAUAUUUUGUAAUUUAUGAUAAAAUUAUAUUUAUAUAUACACACACACACACAUGCCUUUUAACAAGAGGGAUCCCCAUUUUUAAAAAAAAUAUGGGGAUACCCUCUUGACCGUUGGAUUAGCUUUAAUGAAAUUGUGUGGUUGAGAUUAAAUCACAGGCCACACAAUCUCAACCACACAAUUUCAUUAAAGCCAAAUCUAAUGGUCAACAGGGUGUCCCCAGUUUUUUUGAAAAAUGGGGACCCCUCUUGUUAAAGGAUCCUCCAUAUAUAUACAUAUAUAUAUAUAUAUAUAUUAAGUAUAAGCAGACACUUAUUUACACGAAAUAUAAUAUAUUUACUUAAAUUUGUAUAGUACACCUAGGUGCCCACCUAGCCGCUAAGCCCCAGCUCGCGCUUGACUAGUGCCUAACGUCUUUUAGAACCUUGGUUAUUGGUGACACACCCCAACCCGGAAUGUCCACUAGGACUCCGAAUCGAACUGUACUGGCCGACAUCUGGAAGGUGACGAAGCCAUAAAGUGUGAUAAUGCGUAAAAUGUGAAUAAUUUAAACUUAAAAGAUGCCUAUAUACACGAGUGCGAGGUGAACGGGUAUGGACCCAUUUCACACGUGAUACAGAGCAUCAGUAAAGUACAGUAAGGUAAGAUAAUAAUUAUACCAUCAUAAGGAGCUACCUGAACUGGGAGUGCCACAAGUCCUCGUCGAUAUGGAACUUUGCUACUAGAAUCUGGAGGGGUGCAAAAUAGAAAGUGUGAGUGGGCAUACAAAGAUUUUCAAAAUCAUUUCAAUUAUCAAAGGUAGUAACCCCUCGCCGUAAAACCUGUAUAGUUUCCAGAAAAUCAUACCACGUAGAAGUAUGAAAUCUAAUGUAUACUAACAGUAAAUCCAGAAGUAUACCACUACUCAGCAUCGCAUUAGCAAUAUAAAUAAUCAUGUGCUUAAUAACCCAUACUAGCACGCAAGUCGGAAUCACCUACGGUGACCUGUAAGAUUGCACCCAUAUCUCAUCAACCAAUGCUACCACAUAAGUCAGAGUCACCUAUAGUGACAUGUACAACUUAUCCAUAUCUCAUCAAUCAAUGCUAGCACAUAAGUCGGAGUCACCUAUAGUGACCUGUACGACUUACCCUUAUCUCAUCACAUAUCCCUGUAAUAUGUCAGCCGGAUGCACCUUUUGUGGCCUGUACGGCUGAACCCAUAGCUCAUCACAUAUCCCUGCACACAAGUCGGAACAACCUAUAGUGGUCUGUACGACAGGACUGGGUGUAAAUAAGUACGCUCAAGUGCUACGAUCAUGUGAAGACUGUGCGAAUAAACACGGAUCACCUACGAGUCGAAACCACGUAUAAUGGUCUAUACGAUAGGAUUGUGCACCUACCUUAGAUCCAAGGUGAGCGUAAGGUGAGGGAGGUGAACAUCACGUGAGGGACUGUGCCCUGGCCACGGACGGGAGCACUAAUACCGGGGUGUAGGUUUAUGAGCUCUAAUUGCAUCUAUUGUAACAUAUACGACUCAUGGGCAACCUGUACGACAAUAUCGGAGUUGCCUAUCAUUGUAACCUGUACGACAAGGUCGGAGUUGCCUAAAACAUACAUGUAGUCAUGCCAUAACUCCAUCAUUUCAACUAAUACCAUAAACUCACCUGAACUUACCUGGGUGUUCUGCGUUCGCCUUUGCACUUCAAAGCGUUUACAAUAAUUAUGUGCAGGUAAUAUACAUAUAGAUAAACCAUGUUAUAGCAUUUUCAAUUAUAUACAUACAUAUAUAUAUAUAUAUAUAAUAUGGCAUAAAAAUGCAUAAGUUGUAACACCCUACUCCUGAACUAUUUAUUUUCGAGAAUAAUUAUCGGUGAUAAACCCAACCAGACACUAGUUUAAUUAACUAUCAUUACUUACGUUUCCUUACUUCAAAUUCUUGAUUCUUCACACAUUGAUUUAUGACCAACAUUUAACCA
rnacentral:lncRNA from 1 species